GUUUUUGUAGUUGAAUAACAACAGCGGUUUUUCAAGUCGCAGGUUUUGGUUAAAACCCAAAUGAAAAUA
rnacentral:tRNA from 1 species